CUCGUGUGUGGCUGCUUGCGCAGCUGCUCCGUGCCAGGCUUGGAGGACCAGGAGAAGGGGUAGUCACUUGCCACAGCUGGAGGCUGGAGCGUGUGGCACCACGGCUCGCCUCGCUGUGGUGGGUGCUGGCGACAGAGACGGCAGCUCGGCUGGACUGAUUUGCUGAGAUUUGUUUUGUGGCCUAACAUCUGAUCUACCCUGAAGACACUUCCAUGUGCUGAUGGGGAGAAUGCAUACUCUUCAACUGUUGAGUGGGAUGUUCUGUGAAUAUCUGGUAAAAAAACUGAGGCUUAGAAACAUUGAAAAAAACUUGCUCAACGUUGCAAAACAAGAAAUUUGUGACACUGGAAUUGACAUCUACAAGGGACUGAUGUAACUAAUUGCUGGAUACAUGUCCCUCAAAGACACAGAAACAGAUCUUGUAUUCUAGUGGAUCUCCGGCACCCAGUGAGGGCCUGAAACAGAGUACAUGUCCAACAAAUAAUUAUUGAAGUAAAGAUUGACAUUUCAGGAGCAGAGAUUAAUAUUCAAAAACAAAGAUGAGAAUUUUGGCAGAAAAGUCAAAAUGAGGUUCCAACGUGGCUCAACAUGGCAGUUGCUGAUC
rnacentral:lncRNA from 10 species